UGCGCGCGGGCGUGUGGUCACGUGAUCUCCGGAAGGUCCGGGCGCGCGCCUCCGGCGCCCUACUUUCUGUUUUACUUUAAGUAGCUGCGCCCACUUACGGGCAGAAGGUCUAUUUCCCCGCACCCUGGAGGCCUGAGACCUGGUCGCCGACUCUGCCCCUUCGGGUCGUCAACCGCUCACGCCUCUCAUUCUCCGAGGUUUCCUGCCCACCGCCUGCUGUCACCGUUCCAAGCCUUUCGCUGGAAACUUAUUUAAACAGCUGGCGCGAGCCUGGAGGAUUUUGGGUGCAUUUUCUUUAGUGGUUUCCUUGACAUCCUGCUUUCCCAAGCCCCAAACGAUAACUAAACGUCAUCAAUCCACCCACUGAGCUAUUUUUGGUCGUCUCAGACCCCUGCGAAGACACUCCCCACAAACCCCAUUUAGGAAAAAGAAGUGGAGUUGAAGUAUAUCUGAGAUGUGCUAGGAGGGAUCGUUAAUGUUUCAUUAAUAUGACUUCCCACCCGAGCUGCCACGCUGAAAUCAGUGGAUGGUAGCUGCAGCAGGGUGAGGUCAUGGUGAAAAAUCCCCCUAAACCGGACACUGUGAUACAGACUCUUCCCUACAAGGAAGCAGAUAAGCAAGCAAACGGCACGGGCGCAGGCAAACUUUAGGUUUCCUGCCAGAUCAGAGAGGAUAUGACCAGCCAAGGGACUUUUUUCUGUCCUGAUGGCAGAUUCAGGCCAAGACACCUGAAAAGGCUGCCAGGAGACAAGCAGCAAGUGACAGCUGGGUUAGCAGAGAGACUGUGCAGCAGGAACCCCGGAAGGCAACUUCUUCAUUCUUAGUAUUUAGUUUCAAGUGUUAAAAGCCAUUUUGGCCUGUUUCUCUUUUUGGCAGUACAACCGCAAAUACUCCUUGACCUGGGCUCAUGUAGCUCAGAACUACCUAUGUGUUAGUUGAGGUGAGAGGUCAGCACCCUGAGAAGCUCAUGAAACAGGUUUAAAUUUUUUAAAAAAUCAGUGCUAAUCAGCUUACUGUCAGGGUCAGGUUAAUGGCUGAGGGGACUCAGUAAAUUGGCUGCAGUAAACAAUGCCUAUAGCAGGACCAUCUCUGAUUGUCUUGGCCAAACCCAUAGGGUAGAAAAUCUGCGAUAUGCACAGUGGGGUCGGUUCAACCCCGUAACUGUAACUGUAACUGUAACUAACUGUGGAUCGAUAAGGUCAGAAUCACUGAGCAGUCGGUGCCCUCAGGCAAAAUGCUUGGGAAAAGUGUCCUGGAUGGAAGACCUCUAUUGUCUCAACUGAUGUUGGGGAGGCCUUGUUCUCCAACCAAGAAAGGACUAACCGCUGCCGAGCCUUGGCCUCCAAUCAUCAUCUCUACGUGGACUUCAGAUUCUCAUCUGAAUUCUUCUGCAAAACUGGGAGGAGGGAAGCAUGUGGCUGAUGUAGAAAUAAGAAAAAAAGAGUGAAGCUUAUGGCAAUAUUGACGUGGUGGAUAAGCCUGAGACAUCCCCUUAAGCCUCCGAGAAAGAUCCAUGAGCUGCUAUGGACCAGCUGUGACCUCGCUCAGUUUAUCCCAAGUCAGAAGCCUGUGCUGUCUUAAAGAUACACACCAGCACGCAUAGGAACUCUUAUAUCUUGCUUACUUCAUCGGCCUUGUUUAUGGGCAAUCUAUUUAUAUGACACUAAGCACAAGGCUCUGCCUGUAAAUCUGAGAUUCUUUCUGAGAAAUUCAAAACAUCCUGCUCAGUCCCUCUUCUUUAUGUCCUCUUACAGCUAUUAAAGAUGAGAGAUACUUUUUAUGUUUUACUGCCCGUAAGUGGGCUGCC